GACGAACGCUGGCGGCGUGCUUAACACAUGCAAGUCGAACGGAAAGACCCUGCUUUUGUGGGGUGCUCGAGUGGCGAACGGGUGUGUAACACGUGAGUAACCUGUCCUUGACUUUGGGAUAACUUCAGGAAACUCGGGCUCAUACCGGAUAGGAGCUCCUGCUGCAUGGUGGGGGUUGGAAAAUUUCGGCGGUUGGGGAUGGACUCGCGGCUUAUCAGCUUGUUGGGGUGGUAGUGGCUUACCAAGGCUGUGACGGGUAGCCGGCCUGAGAGGUGGACCGGGCACCAGGGGACUGAGAUACGGCCCAGUAGGCAACGGGAGGCAGCAGUGGGGAAUAUUGCGGAAUGGGCGGGAGCCUGAUGCAGCAACGCCGCGUGCGGGAUGCCGUCCUUCGGGUGAUAAACCGAUUUGGCCUGUGACGAAGAGUGAGUGACGGUAAUGGGUCAAGAAGCACCGGCUAACUACGUG
rnacentral:rRNA from 1 species